rnacentral:rRNA from 2 species
UUUAUAUGAGAGUUUGAUCCUGGCUCAGGAUGAACGCUGGCGGCGUGCCUAAUACAUGCAAGUCGAACGAGUUCUCGUUGAUGAUCGGUGCUUGCACCGAGAUUCAACAUGGAACGAGUGGCGGACGGGUGAGUAACACGUGGGUAACCUGCCCUUAAGUGGGGGAUAACAUUUGGAAACAGAUGCUAAUACCGCAUAGAUCCAAGAACCGCAUGGUUCUUGGCUGAAAGAUGGCGUAAGCUAUCGCUUUUGGAUGGACCCGCGGCGUAUUAGCUAGUUGGUGAGGUAAUGGCUCACCAAGGCGAUGAUACGUAGCCGAACUGAGAGG